rnacentral:lncRNA from 1 species
CACUAAAAGGAGAAAGUGUCACACCUUCAAGAAACUAAAAACCACUCAGUGAAAGGGAAGGAUGAGCUGUGUGAGGUCGGAGGGGCAAGGCAAGCAGAGGCUGGAUCCAACUGGCUUGACUCUGGACCUUAAGACACAGGCCUCAGCACCUGCUGUUCCUGUGCCACUGUGCAAAUAGGAAGGCUUCCAGGGCACCAGGCUGCCAACGUCCUGAUGCAAAAGAUGGAACUGGGGGCUUAGGGGAAAGUUCCCAGACCUACUGAUUGGAAUCCA